ACGGGGUGCAGCAGGCGCGAAACCUUUACAAUGCACGAAAGUGUGGUAGGGGGAUACUCAGUGCUUACGCUUGUGGUGUAGGCUUUUGUUGAUCGUAAAUAGAUCAGCGAAUAAGUGGUGUGUAAGACUGGUGCCAGCAGCCGCGGUAA
rnacentral:rRNA from 1 species